CAAGUCGAACGAUGAAGUGGAGCUUGCUCCACGGAUUAGUGGCGAACGGGUGAGUAACACGUGAAUAACCUGCCCUCAAUUUCGGAAUAACCCAGGGAAACCUGGGCUAAUACCGGAUACGUAAACCUGUGGCAUCACAUGGUUUUGGAAAGUUUUUCGAUUGAGGAUGGAUUCGCGGCCUAUCAGCUUGUUGGUGAGGUAAUGGCUCACCAAGGCGACGACGGGUAGCCGGCCUGAGAGGGUGAACGGCCACACUGGGACUGAGACACGGCCCAGACUCCUACGGGAGGCAGCAGUGGGGAAUAUUGCGCAAUGGACGAAAGUCUGACGCAGCGACGCCUCGUGAGGGACGAAGGUCUUCGGAUUGUAAACCUCUUUCAGCAGGGACGAAGCGAAAGUGACGGUACCUGCAGAAGAAGCACCGGCUAACUAUGUGCCAGCAGCCGCGGUAAUACAUAGGGUGCAAGCGUUGUCCGGAUUUAUUGGGCGUAAAGAGUUCGUAGGCGGUUUUUCGCGUCGGAUGUGAAAACUCAGGGCUCAACCCUGAGCCUGCAUUCGAUACGGGAAGACUCGAGGACGGCAGGGGAGACUGGAACUUCUGGUGUAGCGGUGGAAUGCGCAGAUAUCAGAAAGAACACCAAUGGCGAAGGCAGGUCUCUGGGCCGAUCCUGACGCUGAGGAACGAAAGCGUGGGGGGCAAACAGGAUUAGAUACCCUGGUAGUCCACGCCGUAAACUAUGGACGCUAGGUGUGGGGGACAUUCCACGUUCUCUGCGCCGCAGCUAACGCAUUAAGCGUCCCGCCUGGGGAGUACGACCGCAAGGUUAAAACUCAAAGGAAUUGACGG
rnacentral:rRNA from 1 species